rnacentral:rRNA from 1 species
CGGCGUGCUUAACACAUGCAAGUCGAACGAUGAUGCCAGCUUGCUGGUGGAUUAGUGGCGACUUGGAGAGUAACACGUGGGUGAUCUGCCCCAAACUUUGGGAUAAGCCUGGGAAACUGGGUCUAAUACCGGAUAGUACCUUCCCUUGUCUGCGGGUCGGUGGAAAGCUCCGGCGGUUUGGGACGGGCCCGCGGCCUUUCAGCUUGUUGGUGGGGUAAUG